rnacentral:rRNA from 1 species
AUCGUACUUUUUGUAGAACGGGCCGGCGAGUUGCGUUAUGUAGCGAGGUUAAGUAAUUAAGUUACGGAGCCGAAGCGAAAGCGAGUCUUAAUAGGGCGACAUAGUUGCAUGACGCAGACCCGAAACCAGACGACCUAACCAUGAGCAGGUUGAAGCAGUGGUAAGACACUGUGGAGGACCGAACCCACGCCUGUUGAAAAAGUCGGGGAUGACUUGUGGUUAGCGGAGAAAUUCCAAUCGAGUCUGGAGAUAGCUGGUUCUCCUCGAAAUAGCUUUAGGGCUAGCCUCUAUUUGAGAUUACUGACGGUAGAGCACUGAAUGGGCUAGGGGGCUUCACAGCUUACUGAACCUUAUCAAACUUCGAAUGUCAGAUAAUUAUAGUAGGGAGUCAGACAGUGGCAGAUAAGUGUCAUUGUCAAAAGGGAAACAGCCCAGAUCUACAACUAAGGUCCCAAAGUACAAGUUAAGUGGUAAAGGAUGUGUCACCACUAAGACAACCAGGAUGUUGGCUUAGAAGCAGCCACUCAUUCAAAGAGUGCGUAAUAGCUCACUGGUCGAGUGGUGGUGCGCCGAAAAUUACCGGGGCUAAAACUUGUCACCGAAGUUUAGGCAUAUAUGUAAAUAUAUGGGUAGAGGAGCAAUGUAUACAGGCUGAAGCAGUAUCGGAAGGGGCUGUGGACAGUAUACAAGAGAGAAUGCCGGCAUAAGUAGCGAGAGCAUAGUGAGAAUCUAUGCCGUCGAAAGUCUCAGGUUUCCUGGGGAAGGUUCGUCCUCCCAGGGUAAGUCGGGACCUAAGCCGAGGGCGAAAGCCGUAGGUGAUGGACAACAGGUAGAUAUUCCUGUACCACCAAUAAACGAUUAAAUGAAGCAAUGACACAGAAGGAUAGUCAAGGCGCGAUGAUGGAUAGUCGCGUACAAAUCAUGAGGCUGGCAAGUAGUGAAGUACGCUUGCUAAGGCUAGGUGAUGACGUGGAGUGAAAACUAGUAACGAAGUUGAUGAAUUCACGCUGGCGAGAAAAGUUGCUAAAUAAGUUUAAAGGUGCCCGUACCGCAAACCGACACAGGUAGACGAGGAGAAAAUCCUAAGACGAGCGGGAUAACCAUUGUUAAGGAACUCUGCAAAAUUGCCUCGUAACUUCGGGAGAAGAGGCGCCAACGAGAGUUGGUCACAGAAAAGAGGCCCAAGCAACUGUUUACCAAAAACACAGGUCUCUGCGAAAUCGAAAGAUGACGUAUAGGGGCUGACGCCUGCCCAGUGCUGGAAGGUCAAGGGGAAAUGUUAGCGCAAGCGAAGCAUAGAACUUAAGCCCCAGUGAACGGCGGCCGUAACUAUAACGGUCCUAAGGUAGCGAAAUUCCUUGUCAGGUAAGUUCUGACCCGCACGAAUGGCGUAACGACUUGGGCACUGUCUCAACAAUGGACCCGGCGAAAUUGUAGUAUAUGUGAAGAUGCAUAUUACCCGCGACUGGACGGAAAGACCCCGUAGAGCUUUACUGUAACUUGAUAUUGGAUUUCGGUAAUUAAUGUACAGGAUAGGUGGGAGACUGAGAAGCAGAGGCGUCAGCUUCUGUGGAGUCGCCCUUUGGAUACCACCCUUUGAUUAUUGGAAUUCUAACCUUGUGCCGUUAUCCGGGCAAGGGACAGUGUCAGGUGGACAGUUUGACUGGGGCGGUCGCCUCCUAAAGAGUAACGGAGGCGUUCAAAGGUUCCCUCAGAACGGUUGGAAAUCGUUCGUAGAGUGUAAAGGUAUAAGGGAGCUUGACUGAGAGACAGACAUGUCGACCAGAUACGAAAGUAGGACUUAGUGAUCCGGCGGUAGAGAAUGGAAUUGCCGUCGCUUAACGGAUAAAAGUUACCUCGGGGAUAACAGGCUUAUCUCCCCCAAGAGUUCACAUCGACGGGGAGGUUUGGCACCUCGAUGUCGGCUCGUCACAUCCUGGGGCUGUAUUCGGUCCCAAGGGUUCGGCUGUUCGCCGAUUAAAGUGGCACGCGAGCUGGGUUCAGAACGUCGUGAGACAGUUCGGUCCCUAUCCAUCGUGGGCGUAGGAUAUUUGAGAGGAUCUGCCCCUAGUACGAGAGGACCAGGGUGGACGAACCUACUGUGCACCAGUUGUCACGCCAGUGGCACAGCUGGGUAGCGGAGUUCGGAUGGGAUAAACGCUGAAGGCAUCUAAGCGUGAAACCCACCUCAAGAUAAGAUAUCCCAUAUUUUAGAAUAGUAAGACCCCUUGAAGACUACAAGGUUGAUAGGUCGGAGGUGUACAUACGGUAACGUAUUUAGCUGACCGAUACUAAUAGGUCGAGGGCUUGAUCAG